rnacentral:rRNA from 1 species
UGGGGAAUUUUGCACAAUGGGGGAAACCCUGAUGCAGCGACGCCGCGUGAUUUAGAAGGCCUUUGGGUUGUAAAAAUCUUUUCUAUGGGAAGAAAAUGACAGUACCAUAGGAAUAAGGACCGGCUAAUUACGUGCCAGCAGCCGCGGUAAUACGUAAGGUCCGAGCGUUGUCCGGAAUCAUUGGGCGUAAAGGGUACGUAGGCGGGUAAGCAAGUUAGAAGUGAAAUCCUAUAGCUCAACUAUAGUAAGCUUUUAAAACUGCUCAUCUUGAGGUAUGGAAGGGAAAGUGGAAUUCCUAGUGUAGCGGUGAAAUGCGCAGAUAUUAGGAGGAAUACCGGUGGCGAAGGCGACUUUCUGGCCAUAACCUGACGCUGAGGUACGAAAGCGUGGGUAGCAAACAGG